UCCAAAACCCAAAACCAAACUGCCCGUCCUAUUUUCUCUUACAACCGCAAAGCCAAAUACCAAGCUCUACACAGACAUGGACAAGACAAUGUCCCAUCUUUGGAAUGCCUGAAAUUGGAUUCCUAGUCGGAGGUGCUUGAUAAGGAUGGCAGCGGAAAGGAUCUUUUCUCGCCAGCUAUGGUCCCCCUCAACUGCGAUACGCCAAUAAUCGGGAGCAAGACUGAAGAAUUAGAUGAUGAAGAAUCAGAUGAUGAAGAAUCAGAGUUUUGAAAAUCAAAGAUUGAAGAAUCAGAGGAUGAAAAAUCAGAGGAUGGAGAAAGUUAUGGUGAAUGUAAGUAUUGUUUAAAGGUGGAUAAGCACCCUACAUACCUAUGCCCUUAUAAGUGUCGAGUCCCAAAGAACGCAGUUGUUGGCGACAGUUGUGUGGUUGAAUGUCUUGUAUGUGGCUGCCUCUUUAGAGACUCGUGUUGUGCUGGUUGUGGCCUAAGCAUAGGACAUGCACUUCUCAAGGAUUGUACAACUUGUGGGAAGCAAGAAGAACACUUGAAUUAUGAGUGCCCGAAACGUGAGGAGAAACAUAAGGAUUGUAGUUUUACUUAUGACCCUUUCACUGGUUCUUUUUCUGUCGAGAUUUGCCCUUUGAAGUAGAAGAAAAUGAAGAGUUAGUUGUACUCUAGAGUUAAAGCAAAAGAGCAAGGAGUCUUAUUUUCCAUAAAUGCUAUGCAUCCUAUCAUUUUGAUGUCUACAUCGUGUAUUGUUUUUAUCUCAAAUGAAUUGCAAUUUGCAGCACAUG